rnacentral:rRNA from 1 species
AUUGAACGCUGGCGGCAGGCCUAACACAUGCAAGUCGAGCGAGCGGCGGACGGGUGAGUAAUGUAUGGGGAUCUGCCCGAUAGAGGGGGAUAACUACUGGAAACGGUAGCUAAUACCGCAUACUAUUGGAGCGGCCGAUAUCGGAUUAGCUAGUUGGUGGGGUAAAGGCUCACAAAGGCAACGAUCCGUAGCUGGUUUGAGAGGACGACCAGAGACACUAGGACUGCGACAGGGCACAGACUCCUACGGGAGGCAGCAGAGGGGAAUUUUGGACAGUGGGGGAAACCCUGAUACAGCCAUCCCGCGUGUAUGAGAAUGCCUUCGGGUUGUAAAGUACUUUUGGCAGAGAAGCGGUGUCUGCAGAAUAAGCACCGGCUAACUACGUGCCAGCAGCCGCGGUAAUUC